rnacentral:rRNA from 1 species
GACGAACGCUGGCGGCGUGCCUAAUACAUGCAAGUCGAGCGAAGUUUUUCUGGUGCUUGCACCGGAAAAACUUAGCGGCGAACGGGUGAGUAACACGUAAAGAACCUGCCUCAUAGACUGGGACAACUAUUGGAAACGAUAGCUAAUACCGGAUAACAGCAUUAACUGCAUGGUUGAUGUUUAAAAGUUGGUUUUGCUAACACUAUGAGAUGGCUUUGCGGUGCAUUAGCUAGUUGGUGGGGUAAAGGCCUACCAAGGCGACGAUGCAUAGCCGACCUGAGAGGGUGAUCGGCCACACUGGGACUGAGACACGGCCCAGACUCCUACGGGAGGCAGCAGUAGGGAAUCUUCCGCAAUGGGCGAAAGCCUGACGGAGCAACGCCGCGUGAGUGAAGAAGGAUUUCGGUUCGUAAAGCUCUGUUGUUAGGG